UCAAGUUUUGAGCCCGAUUUAAUCAGUCAAACCCAAAUCCACAAAAUCUGAUCCAAUCUUGUGUUCUUUAAAGUUGGCAAAUCUCUGGAGGAUUGAGCAAAACCCUAGCUCAUUCCGGAGCUCUACUACAAAAGAAAUGGAUAACCUCACAUCGAUUCUUCCAAAUCAAAGAUUGAUUGGGAUUGGGUGGUAUUGGAAAAUAUCAUAUAUUUUACCAUAACAUUGGUGGUAAUGAAAUUGGGGUAUGAGGAAAAUUUCAACUAAAAUGGAAUUCCCUGAUCUGGUUGAUCAUUCAGGUGAUGUUCCAACAAUGUUUUAUAUAUGCUUCACUUUACAAUGUUUAGACAUUGGAUAUAUGUGAUGUUAUGUUUGGUUGAUUGAUUGAAAUUUAUCCAGUUUUUGGUGCAUUUGGUAGUGGUACUCUCCAAGUGUUUGACAAAAUGUAUAGUUAGAGUAUAACAGUUAGUCUGUUGUUUCAAAUUGGAUAUAUAUGUAAUGUUAUGUUUGGUUGAUUGAUUGAAGUUUAUCGAAGUAUAAGUUUUUGCCUUUUAGGUGCUUUUGGUACUCUCCAAGUGUUUUGACAAAUAUAUAGUUAGAGUAUAACAGUUAGACUGUUGUUUGAUAUUUGGUUGUGAAAAAUCAAAAAAAGAGAUUUUUAGUGCUUUUCAUGUACUCUAGGGUUUAAACAAAUUCAGAACUGUGUUAAAUGUCUAAAUGGGGUACUAAAGGUGACUAUGACUACCAGUGGUUGGGAACUUCGAAUGUCAUGUGCACUUUAGAGUUUAGACUCAUAGGUGCUUCGAGUCUGACUCUCCUUUGUAACUGUUUUGUUGUUUCAUGUUUGCACGAGAGUUGAGAAUUGUAGACUAAUGAGCUGCAUUGUUCUUGAAACUUAUCCUGAUUAAGUUAAUUUGAUUCGACUUCAGAGGUUUCGUUGAUGGUUUUUAUUUUGUCAAACUAAAUGAAUUAUAUGUUUGUUGAAGAUGUACUCUCCUCUCCUCAGACAUACAACAUGGUAAAGUUCUUGGUUAUUUGAUAUUGAGAUGUUCUUAUGUAUAGGGACAAACCAUCACACCAAAGCAGAGCUUGAGUAGCCUCACUGACAGGGCGAAUAUAUCUACAAUUCACUGGUUGCCACCCAUACUGACGACCAUGGCAGAUCAGGAACGCACUAUAGGCACCCACAUUGAUGAGGGAAAUGAGCUGGGGUGGUGGGAGCUAACAAAACGACAACAAGUUUUGACAGCUGUUCCUAAUAUGAUCAUAUUCGGGACACUAUUUCAUCCGGGUGGUUUAUCCCUAUAGCCCAAGGCAGAGUGGGUGACCGCACAGCUACUGAAGAUGACUACGAAUGGUUGGGAUAUGAUGUCCACUUGGAACCCACAGGUGCUUCAAGUCUGACUCUAUUUUGUAACUGCUUUGUUGUUUCAUGUUUGUUUGAGAGUUAAGAAUUAGACUAUGAGCUGAAUUGUUCUUGAAACUUAGCUUUUAUAGCCAUGAUUUUGUUUUUUAUGGAUUUUACUGCAAAAGUUUACGUGAAUGAUGAUGAAUAAAGCUAAAAGAAAAAGAACAAACAAAACAUAAAGAGAACAAUGAACAAGACAUUUUGAAUUUAAUUUUACUUGAAAGGAGUUUGGUUUUUAUUUUGUCUCUGUAUUAGGGCUAGUUUGUUCAAAUUUGUUUUAUAGUCUUCCGUUUGGUGCAUAACUCAUUGUCUCAUUGUGCUAUAAUAACCCAGCUGUAUCACUAUUCUGUGAGUCUUAUUGUUCUUCAAUUAAAUGCCACUAGUGCAUCAAAAAUUAAGAUGAUAGAAUAAAUCAUCUGGGCACUUUUGCAUUACCGGCUACUUGUCCUAUAAAGUAUUGCAUGCAAUGGCGUUGUAAGGAAACCUACUGCUGACAUAAAAUAACCGCAGUCCCAACUCUGAUCCCAUAUGUCAAAAGAGCCUGUCGCACAAUUGCACUGUCAAGCUGCAUGCAACUAUACUAAUUUUUUUUUUCUUACAGUUUGCUACUUAGCUGAUUUGAGAAACAGCUUAAUUAUGUCUGUGCAGAAAAUUACCGAUUCAACCAAUAAUAAGUUAUACCCCCCCGGUGGAGUUAUAACAGUUGGAUAUUGCAUUAUGACCACCAGCUUUGAGGGUUGCACAUCUGGUCAUCCUCACGGUAAUCUUCAAUACUUCUCAGUUCUCAGAUUACUCUUGAACAUCUUGUUAUAGUGGAUCAUGUCCUAGAGACCCAGACAUGGUUUGCUGAUUAUGGCUGCUAGGGGUGAACAGUUGACCUUAUUUUGUAAAGGUGAUAUUACAUGAAGUGAUAGGUAGUGAAAUUGUGGACUUCCCUAUAGGUCGGAUCUGUAUUGUUCAUGUAUAGACCAUGUACUUGCAUACACAUUAUUAUUGAAGUGUAUAAACUCACCUUGAAGUCAUGAUAUUGGAGAGGUUUGCCUCCAUGGGUUUUAUAUAAAUAUAGGUAUAGAAAGUGUAAGUUCCCUAGAAUCGUUUUUGGUUUUAGUAUUGAAAUAGAAAUAUUCCAAAUUUAUUUUGGGAUGAGUGGUAUCGAGAAAACUAUAUGAUAAUCUACUAGUCCCUAUGUUUUAACCCAAGUAUUUCGACUAAUGGAUGCACUGCACAUUCACAAAGCAGAACAACAUCUGC
rnacentral:lncRNA from 1 species